rnacentral:rRNA from 1 species
AACGAACGCUGGCGGCGUGCCUAACACAUGCAAGUCGAGCGAGAAAGCCCGCAAGGGUGAGUACAGCGGCGCACGGGUGCGUAACACGUGGAUAAUCUGCCCUGAAGUCCGGAAUAACUCGCCGAAAGGCGUGCUAAUGCCGGAUAAGACCACGGGAGCCUCGGCUCCUGCGGGAAAAGGUGGCCUCUGUAUACAAGCUACCGCUACAGGAUGAGUCCGCGGCCCAUCAGCUAGUUGGCGGGGUAAGAGCCCACCAAGGCUACGACGGGUAGCUGGUCUGAGAGGACGAUCAGCCACACUGGAACUGAGACACGGUCCAGACUCCUACGGGAGGCAGCAGUGGGGAAUCUUGCGCAAUGGGCGAAAGCCUGACGCAGCAACGCCGCGUGUGUGAUGAAGGUCUUCGGAUCGUAAAGCACUGUCGCGAGGGACGAAUAAGGGGCGGGUUAACAUCCCGUUCCGAUGACGGUACCUCGAGAGGAAGCACCGGCUAACUCUGUGCCAGCAGCCGCGGUAAUACAGAGGGUGCAAGCGUUGUUCGGAAUUAUUGGGCGUAAAGCGCGUGUAGGCGGCUUUGUAAGUUGGGUGUGAAAGCCCUCGGCUUAACCGAGGAAGUGCGCCCAAAACUGCAUGGCUUGAGUACCGGAGAGGGUGGCGGAAUUCCCGGUGUAGAGGUGAAAUUCGUAGAUAUCGGGAGGAACACCAGCGGCGAAGGCGGCCACCUGGACGGAUACUGACGCUGAGACGCGAAAGCGUGGGGAGCAAACAGGAUUAGAUACCCUGGUAGUCCACGCUGUAAACGAUGAGCGCUAGGUGUUGUGGGUGUUGACCCCUGCAGUGCCGCAGCUAACGCAUUAAGCGCUCCGCCUGGGAAGUACGGCCGCAAGGCUAA